rnacentral:rRNA from 1 species
AUUCCGGUUGAUCCUGCCGGAGGCCAUUGCUAUCGGAGUCCGAUUUAGCCAUGCUAGUCGCACGGGUUCAGACCCGUGGCGGAUAGCUCAGUAACACGUGGCCAAACUACCCUGUGGACGACAAUAACCUCGGGAAACUGAGGCUAAUACUCGAUACAGCUCUCAUGCUGGAGUGCAGAGAGCUGGAAACGCUCCGGCGCCACAGGAUGUGGCUGCGGCCGAUUAGGUAGACGGUGGGGUAACGGCCCACCGUGCCAGUAAUCGGUACGGGUGAUGAGAGUCAGAACCCGGAGACGGUAUCUGAGACAAGAUACCGGGCCCUACGGGGCGCAGCAGGCGCGAAACCUUUACACUGCACGACAGUGCGAUAGGGGGACUCCGAGUGCGAGGGCAUAUAGUCCUCGCUUUUCUGGACCGUAAGGAGGUGCAGGAACAAGUGCUGGGCAAGACCGGUGCCAGCCGCCGCGGUAAUACCGGCGGCACAAGUGAUGGCCGA